UGUGCUUGAAAUUCACUACCCGACUGAGGGACCUUACAGAUAAUUGUAUGUGUGUGGUACAGAGAUGGGGUUAUCGUUCAAAAAUAAUGUUACCCACUAUUAUGGCACACUGAGUCCGUGCAACUUAUUAAGCAAAUGUUUAUUCCUGAACGUAUUUAGGCUUUCCAUAACAAAGGGGUUGAAUACUUAUCGACUCAAGAGAUUUAAAUUGUACAUUUUUUAUUAAUUUGUAAAAAUUACAUUGGGGUAUUGUGUGUAGAUCAGUGGCACAAAUUCUUGAUUCAAUCGAUUUUAAAUUCAGGCUGUAACACAAAAUGUGGGGAAAGUCAAGGGGUGUGACUACGUUAUGAAGGUGCUGUAACAUAAUGGUUGAAGACCAUUGAAUAUUUAAAUUUAUGCUCUUUAAAAUUAAUGCUGAGACAUUUAGAUGCCAAACACACUUUUCGGAGGGGGAAAUUUACCAGGGGUCCAAGGUUUGGAGGGAUGGAGUCACACGUCACACAUUCUGUGGCAUGUCACAGAUCACAUCAGGCCCUAUAAUUGUGUGUCUAAUCUCAACAUCCUAUAUAGAAUUGUAGGUUCUUGAUUUCUCAACAGAUUAUUUGGGCCUGCCAUUUAUAUCAUGCUAAAUGGGGUUUAGUAUAUGACUAACAUUAAAAUGUAAAGACACAGAUAUGCAAUUUGGUUGUAUUAUCCCUGUAGCAUUGUUGAGAACAGAGCAUUUAUUUAUUCAUGUGAUCAGCAGAUUCUUUUAACUCUUCUGCAAGCUGCUCUGUAGAUGUUGUUGGUUCAUCAGAUUCUGAUAACACUGUUACUCUGACACAAAUUCCUAGCAGAAACAGGAGAGCAGAGGAAGAUAGUGCAGCCAAAAUGAUUGAGGACAUUCUCCAGUGAAAAGCUGGAGGGGAAAGGAUCAUGAACGAGUGUGCUCGGACAAAAAGCUUCACUGACCGCACCAGACGUAAUUCGAUCAAUCUAGUCAUUAUCAUUAUUUUUGGUUCAUAACAAGUCCCCCACGACAUGUGAAGGAAGCAUAUGCAAGAGGAAUAGUUUCCUUCUUUCCGUACCUGGACAACCCCAAAAGCAUGACUGACUAUGCCUACUAUUACAAUGCAGAAGACGGGUGUGGCUACUUGGCAUGGAGACUGAAGCACCUGCAAAAGGAGCCUGCAGAGGGAAGAAUAAAGUCCCCUCGCAGAUGACUAGCAGGCUGGUCAGGUGGUUGGCAUACAUACUGUAAUUGUAUUUUAUUUAUGUGUGUAUGGUUUGUGCUCGCUUGGAUGCAGGCAUGUGAGGGUGUGUUCACAAAUGCGUGAGACUUUUUUGUUACGGGUUUUUCCUCAAGAUUCAGUGUAAUGGGGUUUGUUUGGACUGUUUAUACCAGUGUUGUGUGUUCCUCUCCUUUUUAAUCUUUGGUUGAAGGUGGACCAGCUGCUGAACAGAGACCCCUUCACAGAUAACGACUGGCUGAGUGAAGAAGGGCAGUGUCCAGAGGCCAUCGUGCUGAUGAAACACACUUCUGAUGAAACACACUUCUGAUGAAACACACUUCUGAUGAAGCAACCGUUGAAGAAAAGAUUAAGUUGACCUUUGCCUACUCCCAAAAAAUUGUCCAUGACCCAACUGAGCUUCAGGACCUGAUACACAACGCUGAGUCCACAGCUGAUGUGGAAAAUGGCAGAGGCAUACCACUUUACACUGUAAUAUGAAGUUCUAGCUUAGACAGUGACAUGUCGUCCAUUCUUCUUAUCAUCCAUCUUCUGCCUCCCUCCUCGCAAGGCCGCAACAAGCCGAGAAAGAUGUCAGCAAGACAUGCAGCUGAACAUCUUGUGAAGUUCAUCAAGGCAGGGACCAGCAUCCAGCAGCAUCUUGAUGGCAUCACCGGAAGUAGUGAUUGAUAAACAUACAGUACCUUAUAAGGCAUCUGGCUCACUGGGCAGUUUUGAUGAGCUUUUCAAAGCUCACUUUGGUACCUCAUAAAGUCAGGGUCUGGCAAACAUGUACACUUUUCUCCAAAUGACAAUUUCUGACAUUGACGUUGAUACAACUAAGGCGAAUCCCAGGGUAGCAGAGCUGAGGGCCAGGAUGUUGCAUUAAACAGAUCUAUUUGAGACAUAGACAUUUUUUGUUUUGUUUGCAAAUGCCGCCAGGCAAAUGCCAAAAGCAUUGUGAAACAUCUGAAGUUAAUCCACAGUCUUUGUCCAGGGAAUUCUCUGUGUUUAUAGUGUGGUCAGGUUGGUUGUUCACAUGUAUUUGUCACUUUCUUCUGGAUUUAGAAAGUAUCAUAACAAGGAAAAUGAAGAGCGAUCCGUAGCAGUUUCUGAUAAUUAUGGUGGAGGCCCCUCUAACACUGCUAACAGUCUUGCAGCAAACUAUGUUGGUGAUGUGCUAGCCCCAAGCUCACAUUGUGAUUCAGCUCUGUAUAAUAAGAGUAUUGCAGAUAAUUGUGCCGCAACAAUAGCUCAACUCAAAUCAGCGGGAGUUGGUAAAACAACAUUGAACACUUUAGUCAGUUCCAUGGAAGAGAUAGUUGAUGAUAUCCACAGUCAAGCUAAAGAGUCAGCCUUUACAGGAAACUGGCAACAAUUAUAUUGGGUGUAAAAUAGAAUCAGUGUUUUGGGCAAAUUGAAAAUUCUUUCAGUGUAUUGAAUUCUGAAACCAAAAGGUUGAAAUAUUUCUCAGAAGUGGGGAACUGUAAAUCCAGUUGAAUAUGUUCUUGGCACAAUGCAAUGGAACAUAUGACCAGUUUAUUGUUACAGAUAAACUAAUGUACGUAACCCCAUUUUGUUACAUCUCUAACAUCUGUUAGAGUUCAUUGACAAAGACUUUGAAAUCGCUAAUCCUCUUGGAUCGACGCGUGGCAUGCAUAAAUUGGGUUCAAUUUACUUUAAGAACUGUCUCCAAAUUGGAAUUUCUCUGCUCAAUAUUCACCUGGUUUCUCUAUUUUAUGCUCAAGACAUAAAAACCUAUGGGUUUCACUCACUACUAGACCCAAUUGUACGAGAUAUAAAUAUUUUGUAAAGUGAGUUACUGUUACGAUCACCAAAUUCAUGGUGUAUCACAACCGGACGUGAUUGGGAGUCCCAUAGGGUGGCGCACAAUUGACCAAGCGUCGUUCGGGUUUGGCCGGUGUAGGCCGUCAUUUUCUAUAAGAAAAUGUCUUGCCUAGUUAAAUACAAAUGAAAUCUGUUGCUGUAGCUGAUGAGGUGUGGAAACACUUUGUUGCUGUUGUGGAUUUUGCGUUGUUGCUCUGUCUGCGUGCUAGGUGUUGCUUGUCCUAUGUUGCUCUGCAUGUGCUCACUGCUCAUUGUUCGUAUUGUUUUGUAAUGGCUUUUUUUAGCCGGCUGGCUAAAACUCACUUUUAUUGAAACGUUGAUUAAUGUGCUCUGUCCCUGUAAAAAUAAACUCAAAUUCAAGUAGACAAAUCGACUGUAACACUGGAGAAAAUACAAUGUUGACUAUUUGAAGUAACAAAAGCAGCAAAUGCCAGUGUUGAUCAUUUGGAGUCACCAACUCAAUAAAGGUAAGUGGUAGAUUGUAUAGUAGAUGCCAAGACUGAAUGGCAUUUAAGCCCAAAUCAUUGGAACCCUCAAGUAACUUCACUGCAGAGGGUCUGUUGUUUCUUUCCAUAUAACAAUAGUUGAAGCUCUAAAUUCUCAUGUCAAUUUCUUUUGAGGUUAAAUUCUCAUUUUUGCAUGUGUUGUAGAAGCAAUUUCACCUCAUAUUGCUGAUGAUAUCAACUGAAAAAUUCUCACUUGUAUGAAAGUACUGUAAUGAAUUAAGCAGGCAAGUGUCACACCCUGACCUUAGUGUUCUUUGUUUUCCUUGUUAUUUUGGUUAGGUCAGGGUGUGACAUGGGUGAUGUAUGUGUUUUGUCUUGUAUGUUUAUGGGGCUGUUUCCUUUCUAGGUGUUUAUGUAAGUAUGGUUGCCUAGAUUGGUUCUCAAUUAGAGGCAGGUGCUUAUCGUUGUCUCUGAUUGGGAACCAUAUUUAGGCAGCCAUGUUUUUUGGGUAUUUUGUGCCACACGGGUGAUUGUUUCCUGUUCACUUUGUUGUUUUGUAUUUGUGUUCAUGUUGAGUUUUCAUAUUAAAUACCAUGGACACUUA